AUACGGAGGGGGCUAGCGUUGUUCGGAAUUACUGGGCGUAAAGCGUACGUAGGCGGACUGAUCAGUUGGGGGUGAAAUCCCAGGGCUUAACCCUGGAACUGCCUUCAAUACUGUCAGUCUUGAGAUUGAAAGAGGUGAGUGGAAUUCCUAGUGUAGAGGUGAAAUUCAUAGAUAUUAGGAGGAACACCAGUGGCGAAGGCGGCUCACUGGUCCAAUACUGACGCUGAGGUACGAAAGCGUGGGGAGCAAACAGGAUUAGAAACCCGAGUAGUCC
rnacentral:rRNA from 1 species